UACGGAGGGGGCUAGCGUUGUUCGGAAUUACUGGGCGUAAAGCGCACGUAGGCGGCUUUGUAAGUUAGAGGUGAAAGCCCAGGGCUCAACCCUGGAAUUGCCUUUAAGACUGCAUCGCUUGAAUUGUGGAGAGGUAAGUUGAAUUCCGAGUGUAGAGGUGAAAUUCGUAGAUAUUCGGAAGAACACCAGUGGCGAAGGCGACUUACUGGACACAUAUUGACGCUGAGGCGCGAAAGCCAGGGGAGCGAACGGG
rnacentral:rRNA from 1 species